UGAGUGUGUGUGUACUGACUCUGGCGAUGGGGGACUUGCGUAGGUUUGCGUUGAGGAUGGCGGUACGGGAGGCUGUGUCUGGUAGAGGGAUGUAGAUGAGCUGAUCCAGCCUCCCUGGACGGAGGAUAGCAGAGUCUAUUAUAUCAGGUCUGGAGGAGAACAGAGUCUAUUAUAUCAGGUCUGGAGGGGGGAGGAUAGCAGAGUCUAUUAUAUCAGGUCUGGAGGGGGGAGGAUAACAGAGUCUAUUAUAUCAGGUCUGGAGGGGGGAGGAUAACAGAGUCUAUUA